UUAAUUUUAGUAUUUGGUAUUUUGAAUAUGUCAUUGCAUUUACUUCUGGCCUGCAAAGUUUCUGCCAAGGAAUCUACUGAAAAUCUUAUAGGAGCUUAAUGUGAUGAGUUGCUUUUCUCUUACUGCUUUCAAGAUUCUCCCUUUUCUUCUGUGACUUUUGACAGUGUGAUUAUGUGUCUUGGUGUGAGUCUUUUUGAAUUUAUCCUAGUUGAAGUUCAUUGAGCUUUUUCAAUUUGUAUGCCAAUUUCCUCCCUCAAAUUUAGGGAAUUUUCAGCCAUUAUUUCUUCAAAUAGAUACUCUACUUCUUUCUCACCCUCUUCUCGAUUUGAGAUUCCCAUAAUGUGGAUAAUGAUCUGUUUGAUGAUGUCUUAGGCUCUCUUGACUUUUCUUUAUUCUUUUUUUUUUUUUUUGGUUCCUGACUUAAUAAUUUCAAAUAACCUGUCUUUAAGUUUGCCAGUUCUUUCUUUUGCUUGAUCCAGUCUGCUGUUGAAUGAACCCCUCUAGUGAAUUGUUUUUUAGUUCCAUUAUUGUAUUUUUCAACUCUGGAAUUUCUGCUUGGUUCUCAUUUUUAGUUUCUCUUUGUUGAUAGUCUCAUUUUGUUCCAGCAUUUUAUUUUUCUUGGUUCCUUUAGUUGUCUGUUUUAGUUCAUGGAGUAUUUUAAUAUGGUUAUUUCAAGUUCUUUAUGAGGUAAUUCAUAAAUCUCUGUUUCUUUCUAGAGAUUUGUUUCUUUGAUUUGGCCAUGUUUCCUUGUUCCUUUGCAUACAUUGUGAUCUUUUGUUGAGGUUUGGGUACAU